GGGCCGGCGACUCGAAGUGGACUUCCGGGUCACGGCGGAGCGGGCUCUCACGUGGAGGCGGGGAAAUUUCGCCCACCGGAAUGAUCACCAAGACACACAAAGUAGACCCUGGGCUCCCAGAGAAGAAAAAGAAGAAGAAAGUGGUCAAAGAACCAGAGACUCGAUACUCAGUUUUAAACAAUGAUGAUUACUUCGCUGAUGUUUCUCCUUUAAGAGCCACAUCCCCCUCUAAGAGUGUGGCCCAUGGGCAGGCACCUGAGAUGCCUCUAGUGAAGAAAAAGAAGAAGAAAAAGAAGGGUGUCAGCACCCUUUGCGAGGAGCAUGUAGAACCUGAGACCACGCUGCCUGCCAGACGGACAGAGAAGUCACCCAGCCUCAGGAAGCAGGUGCUUGGCCACUUGGAGUUCCUCAGUGGGGAAAAGAAAAAUAAGAAGUCACCUCUAGCCAUGUCCCAUGCCUCUGGGGUGAAAACCUCCCCAGACCCUAGACAGGGUGAGGAGGAAACCAGAGUUGGCAAGAAGCUCAAAAAACACAAGAAGGAAAAAAAGGGGGCCCAGGACCCCACAGCCUUCUCAGUCCAGGACCCUUGGUUCUGUGAGACCAGGGAGGCCAGGGAUGUUGGGGACACUUGCUCAGUGGGGAAGAAGGAUGAGGAACAGGCAGCCUUGGGGCAGAAACGGAAGCGGAAGAGCCCCAGAGAACACAAUGGGAAGAUGAAGAAGAAAAAAAAAAUCCACCAGGAGGGAGACGCCCUCCCAGGCCACUCCAAGCCCUCCAGGUCCAUGGAGAGCAGCCCUAGGAAAGGAAGUAAAAAGAAGCCAGUCAAAGUUGAGGCUCCGGAAUACAUCCCUAUAAGUGAUGACCCUAAGGCCUCCGCAAAGAAAAAGAUGAAGUCCAAAAAGAAGGUAGAGCAGCCAGUCAUCGAGGAGCCAGCUCUGAAAAGGAAGAAAAAGAAGAAGAGGAAAGAGAGUGGGGUAGCAGGAGACCCUUGGAAGGAGGAAACAGACACAGACUUAGAGGUGGUGUUGGAAAAAAAAGGCAACAUGGAUGAGGCGCACAUAGACCAGGUGAGGCGAAAGGCCUUGCAAGAAGAGAUCGAUCGCGAAUCAGGCAAAACGGAAGCUUCUGAAACCAGGAAGUGGACGGUAAGUUUGGGGCUAGGGCUCUGCAAGGAGGUGGCACGCUCGGCCUCCCAACGCUUCCCCUCGCCUCCAGCAUGAGGAGUGGAGGAGGAGAACCAAGUAUGUCCAGGCCCCAGAGGCAGCCCUAGCCUGCAGCUGGCUCCCUCCACAGCAGAAUUUGUCCUGAGCUAAUUUCCUUCCUUCUGAAAAGGGCGCUUGCCUCCCUCCUAGAGAGCUGGCCCGGUGAGAUAAGCUGCCUGAACCUUUGUCUCA
rnacentral:sRNA from 1 species